AGGACGAACGCUGGCGGCGUGCUUAACACAUGCAAGUCGAGCGAACCUUCGGGUUAGCGGCGAACGGGUGAGUAACACGUGGGCAACCUGCCCCGAGCUCUGGGAUAACCCCGGGAAACCGGGGCUAAUACCGGAUACGACACCGAGAGACAUCUGUCGGUGUGGAAAGUUUUUCGGCUCGGGAUGGGCCCGCGGCCUAUCAGCUUGUUGGUGGGGUAACGGCCUACCAAGGCGACGACGGGUAGCC
rnacentral:rRNA from 1 species